rnacentral:rRNA from 1 species
GACGAACGCUGGCGGCGUGCCUAAUACAUGCAAGUCGAACGCUGAAGAGCGGAGCUUGCUCUUCUUGGAUGAGUUGCGAACGUGUGAGUAACGCGUAGGUAACCUGCCUGGUAGCGGGGGAUCACUAUUGGACACGAUAGCUAAUACCGCAUAAACUGCAUUAUCGCAUUAUAAUCCGUUGAGAGGUGCAAAUGCAUCACUACCAGAUGGACCUGCGUUGUAUUAGCUAGUUGGUGGGGUAACGGCUCACCAAGGCGACGAUACAUAGCCGACCUGAGAGGGUGAUAGGCGACACGGGGAGUGAGACAGGGCCAAGACGCCUAAGGGAGGCAGCAGUAGGGAACGGGCGGCAAUGGACGGAAGUAUGACCGAGCAACGGCGCGUGAGUGAAGAAGGUGUUCGGAGCGUAAAGACCGGUUGUAAGAGAAGAACGAGUGUGGGAGUGGAAAGUGCACGCGGUGACGGUAUCUGACCAGAAAGGGACGGCUAACUACGU